AUGGAGGAAUUCAACUCCGAAGACUUCUCCACGUCAGAGGAGGACGAGGACUACGUGCUGUUGGGUGGAGAGUAUAGUGAAGAUGACGUAAAUGAAUUAGUCAAGGAAGAUGAAGUGGAUGGUGAAGAGCAGACACAGAAAACCCAAGGGAAAAAGAGAAAGGCCCAGAGCAUUCCAGCCAGGAAGAGAAGACAAGGUGGCCUCUCAUUAGAAGAAGAGGAAGAGGAGGAUGCCGAUUCAGAAUCUGAGGGAAGCAGUAGUGAGGAGGAAGAUGAAGCUGCAGAGCAGGAAAAAGGCAUUGGAUCAGAGGAUGCCAGGAAAAAGAAGGAGGACGAACUCUGGGCCAGCUUCCUCAAUGAUGUGGGACCAAAAUCAAAAGUGCCCUUAAGUACACAAGUUAAGAAAGGAGAGGAGACUGAAGAGACAAGUUCAAGUAAUUUGUUGGUAAAAGCAGAAGAGCUAGAGAAACCUAAAGAAACAGAAAAAGUUAAAAUCACCAAGGUGUUUGAUUUUGCUGGUGAAGAAGUAAGGGUAACUAAGGAAGUGGAUGCUACAUCUAAAGAGGCCAAAUCCUUCUUCAAGCAGAAUGAGAAAGAAAAACCACAGGCAAAUGUCCCUUCAGCUGUGCCAUCACUCCCUGCCGGGUCAGGGAAGAAGAAAUUUGAUGCCUAG